ACGCUCGACACCUACGGGAGGCAGCAGUGGGGAAUAUUGCACAAUGGGGGAAACCCUGAUGCAGCGACGCCGCGUGAGUGAAGAAGUAAUUCGUUAUGUAAAGCUCUAUCAGCAGGGAAGAAAGUGACGGUACCUGAGUAAGAAGCCCCGGCUAACUACGUGUCAGCAGCCGCGGUAAUCUGAGCGGGCUGGCAAGGC
rnacentral:rRNA from 1 species